CCCUUAGAUGUUCUGGGCCGCACGCGCGCUACACUGACGAAGUCAGCGAGCAUGUCCUACGCCGACAGGUGCGGGGAAUCUUGUCAAACUUCGUCGUGAUGGGGAUUGAUUAUUGAAAUUCUUGAUCAUCAACGAGGAAUUCCUAGUAAGCGCAAGUCAGCAGCUUGCGUUGAUUACGUCCCUGCCCUUUGUACACACCGCCCGUCGCUACUACCGAUUGAAUGGUUUAGUGAGAUCUUCGGAUUGGCGCCACUGCGGCUCAGCAAUGGGCUCGGUGGAUGCCGAAAAGUUGAUCAAACUUGGUCAUUUAGAGGAAGUAAAAGUCGUAACA
rnacentral:rRNA from 1 species